GAAAAUUCCAGCAGGACAAAGAAACACAGGCUGGGAGGUGAGCUGCUCAGUUGCCAGAGUAUCAACCUGAGCCCAGGACACUGCCAGGCUGCUGAGUCAAAGAGGGUUUAGCAGCCCAUUUUCAUAGACAGACAGCUCUAGGCCUCUGGGUUGGAGGAUGUGUGCAUUGAGAAGAGGCCUACAGUAAACUCUCCCCAGACUUCUGUGGACCUAGGAGGCUGCUGACUUCAUAGGGCUCCCCCACCUACAUUCCACCACAUUGAAGGGCUUACCUGCAUGGUGCCAGUAAAGGAGAACUGCAAUCCAAGCAAAUGUGGUGGGUGUGAAGCUUUCAAGAAGUUGGGUCAAGAACAAGGACUGAAAGAGGAGCAUCAAUUUAUGGGGGCCACUGAGGCUUUCAGAGAUUUUGUGACCUACCAAACCGGCACAGCUAGUAAAUGGAUGACAAGCCAUUAACAUGGAAAGAAGAAGAGGCAUCCAAAGUGUUGGGUCCGCAUCGCCCUUGCCUUGGAGGAAGCUCCAAAUAGAGGGAAGGAUGGUUUCCAGCAGUCCCUCAAGUGACUUUCCUCCUUCGUGGGAUCCAGUUACACCCAGCAGACUUCAGUUUGAAUAAACAGAACUAGAUGAACACACCUAGGGAAUCUUUGAGGCCAGCCUCAGCUUUUAACAUCCAGCUACAGGGAGGUGAGAGAAGCUUCAGCCAGUUGUUUUCUAAGAGCGAGAUAAAGAAACCACCCUCCAAUUAUGCAUCAAAUUCUGCUUCACAGUUGAAUAACGGGCAUGAAAUCGGAUGUUUUUCAAGCUCAGUAUAAAGCAGUGGAAAACCUACCUCCCCUCUCCCUCCAUAAAGAACAUCUAAACGCACAGCAUUUAAUUUCUGAACAGGGCAAUGUUCUUUUUAAGGGAAAUGUUAAGCAGGGAUUAGAGACACGAUGGGCUGUGUAACUCUAUCCUCAGCCCUCUCAUUGUUAAUAGUAAUUUUUUUUUGGCGGCGUCUGUGCAGAGAUGUGGGAAAAACCAAAGUCUUAUGUAAAUGAGAAUUGACACACGCUCGAUAAACCAAAUGCCAGACCUGAGGUCUUAAUUACACAGGAGUCCAGAUGUCAAAACGAAUGCAGCUUAUUGACGUUCAGAGAUUUCACUCGGUAUUAAGUUGGACGACCUUCUUCCGGGACCAGAGAGCAAAGCGCUGGUUUCUCAUUACCCAGGGCCAUGUUCACAAAUGGCAAAGAGCUGUGUUCAUGCCUAGACACUUUUCUAGGUGGAAUAUAUCCCUGAACCACAACACUUAACACCUGCUCAUAGUGGGACAAGCAAAACAAGAUGUUUUCAGGUGUGGGACAAACCACUGCUAAUUGACCAAGGGCUCUUCUGAGCAGAGGUCCCUAACUGCACCCUCUCUCUCCACUCAGCCCCCACCUCCAUCGUGCCUAUUCAUGUAGUCUCAUUCGUUGCCUCUAAGGCAUUGCCAGGGGCACUACUUCAACUUCAACAACUAAUACUCCUGUGAGAUACAUAAGAGCAUUAGUAGUCACUUUUUAAUGUCAAGAAACAAAGUCCAUAAUUACUAAGCAUUUAUGUUGCUGAAGAUGAGAACACUUGGCAGCUUGGGUAGCUCACAAAGCAGCUCCUGGUAGACUAGGUUUACUGGCCCAUAGCUUUAUUCGUUAGUGGAGACAAUGGCCAUUACCCUAAGCAGCACAGGCUCUGUUUUUAAAGGGAGAGAAAGCUACUUUCAGGCUUGGGCAUAACCAAACGGUGCUCAGUGGGAGUCAGGUUCUUUGCCUUGAAAUAGAAAAAUAAUACACCCUUUCCCUCCACCUCCACUAAUUAAAGUGUCAGGAUGGAGCCCCGACACUGACUUGACACAUGACAUGAUGUCUCGUGUAAUUGGACGUGUUUCACGCUAACAUCAAAGCCUCGUCAAGGAUGAUGGAGCGAGAUGUUUAGUGCAUGCCUGUUGCAGUCUGACAUAUAACUCCAUCCAGCUUCAUUCACAGGCUCUCGCUCACCGGGAGAUUAACCCGCCAAGCUGCUGAGUGAGAAGGGACAGAGCAGGCCCUGACGGGAGGCCUGGGACGCAGGGGAAAUCAAAACAAGUCCACCUGCUUAAGGAGACUGCCGCACUGUGACCUCGUCCUCCGGACAUCUGUGGCAAGUGUUACCGCAGCCACUGAUGUGGCACUGGGCCAUUUACAGCGGCCUCAUGAUAUUCUUUUUCACGACUGUGUUUAUGCUGUUGUUUAACAACUUUGUAUAACAAUCUCUUUUCACUCCAAAUAAACCUUAGUGCCUG
rnacentral:lncRNA from 1 species